rnacentral:rRNA from 1 species
AGCGGCCGCGAAAUUCGCCCUUAGAGUUUGAUCAUGGCUCAGGAUGAACGCUGGCGGUCUGCUUAACACAUGCAAGUCGAACGAACUCUUCGGAGUGAGUGGCGGACGGGUGAGUAACGCGUGAGAAUCUACCUGUGGGUCGGGGACAACCACUGGAAACGGUGGCUAAUACCGGAUGAGCCGAAAGGUAAAAGAUUUAUUGCCCACAGAUGAGCUCGCGUCUGAUUAGCUAGUUGGUAAGGUAAAAGCGUACCAAGGCGACGAUCAGUAGCUGGUCUGAGAGGAUGAGCAGCCACACUGGGACUGAGACACGGCCCAGACUCCUACGGGAGGCAGCAGUGGGGAAUUUUCCGCAAUGGGCGAAAGCCUGACGGAGCAAGACCGCGUGGGGGAGGAAGGUUUUUGGAUCGUAAACCCCUUUUGUCAAGGAAGAAGCUCUGACGGUACUUGACGAAUAAGCCUCGGCUAACUCCGUGCCAGCAGCCGCGGUAAUACGGAGGAGGCAAGCGUUAUCCGGAAUGAUUGGGCGUAAAGCGUCUGUAGGUGGCCAGCUAAGUCUGCUGUUAAAGAUCACAGCUCAACUGUGGGAAGGCAGUGGAAACUGGCAAGCUAGAGGUUGGUAGGGGUAAAGGGAAUUNCCCGGUGUAGCGGUGAAAUUGCGUAGAUAUCG